rnacentral:rRNA from 1 species
GAGACUCUGUGCGCGUGCAUAUCAAUAAGCGGAGGAAAAGAAACUAACAAGGAUUCCCUUAGUAACGGCGAGUGAAGCGGGAAGAGCUCAAAUUUGAAAUCUUCAAGGUUCUACCUUGACGAAUUGUAGUUUAUAAGAAGUGUUUUCUGUUAGUGGAGUGGCAAAAGUUCUUUGGAAUAGGACAUCAUAGAGGGUGAGAAUCCCGUAUUUGGUCAUUCCUCCUAGCGUUGUGAUACACUUUCAACGAGUCGGAUUGUUUGGGAAUGCAGUCCAAAAUGGGUGGUAGAUUUCAUCUAAAGCUAAAUAUUGGCGAGAGACCGAUAGCGAACAAGUACCGUGAGGGAAAGAUGAAAAGAACUUUGAAAAGAGAGUUAAACAGUACGUGAAAUUGUCAAAAGGGAAGCGUUUGACACCAGUGUUGUUUUUCCGAAAAUCAAUUACGAAUGUUUUGUUUUUGAGGAGUUAUGACUUCAUCGGCUUGCUCCUUUCUUUACGAAGCUUUCUUAAUGCACUUUUCGGUUAACAAGUCAACAUCAAUUUCUUUUGUUGUAAAAGGGUAUGAGGAAGGUGGCUUUCUUUUCGGAGAAAGUGUUUAUAGCCUUGUGCCUCUGCAAUCGGAGAGAUUGAGGUCUGCAGCGUAGAUCCUUCGGGGUUAGAUACGUUGGUGCUAAGUUAUAGCUUUUCAUAGACAACUUGUUGACUAUGUUUAGUCUUGUAGCCUACUCGCUGACGCUAUUUUACCUACGCUUAGGAUGUUGAAGAUGUAGCACAUCAU